rnacentral:rRNA from 1 species
UGGGGAAUCUUGGACAAUGGGGGAAACCCUGAUCCAGCCAUGCCGCGUGAGUGAUGAAGGCCCUAGGGUUGUAAAACUCUUUCGGCGGGGACGAUAAUGACGGUACCCGCAGAAGAAGCUCCGGCUAACUUCGUGCCAGCAGCCGCGGUAAUACGAAGGGGGCUAGCGUUGUUCGGAAUUACUGGGCGUAAAGCGCGCGCAGGCGGUUCUUCAAGUCAGAGGUGAAAGCCCAGAGCUCAACUCUGGAAUGGCCUUUGAGACUAGAGAACUAGGGUACGGGAGAGGUGAGUGGAAUUCCGAGUGUAGAGGUGAAAUUCGUAGAUAUUCGGAAGAACACCAGUGGCGAAGGCGGCUCACUGGCCCGUUACCGACGCUCAGGCGCGACAGCGUGGGGAGCAAACAGG